CAAGUUGGGGCCACCUGGCUGAUCGGUGGUGGCGCAGGGCCGCGGUCCAACGCGAUCUCCUGGUCCCGGCCUCCACAAGGGCCACAAUGCCACGAUACUUCGUGGUCGUCUGGCCUCCGCCCAUGAGGUUCUCCUGCCUGCUCUGGGGAAGAGGAGAAAAGGAGAAAAGGAAUUCUUAGAUCACGUGGUGCGUGGUCAGCCGGCGCAACGUGGAGGACUUCGCGCGCUCGUGGUUCUCGUGGCUUCAGUGCCAGUGGCUGCCCGAGGAACAUGACCCCUUCUGCUCGGCGGCCUCGACGUGCGCCCUGGCGCUGGCGUUGUCCGACGGGCGGCCGCGCAGGGCGCUCCUCGCGCUCACCUUGGAGCUGGACUUCUCCAGAGAGCCCGUGCUCCACAAGCGGAUGCCUGUGUACGACUGCGAAGCCUGAACGACUACUCUCCGCUGCCUCUCUCGUUGCUGGAACCGAGUGGGAAAGGUGCCAAAGUUCGACUCUGCUGCCCGGAAUCCUCAAAAUCGGAGGCAGGGUACCAACUUCCCGUUACAGCGGCGAACGGAGCAGGCAUUCCACAAUGUGUCCUUUUCGCUGGGAUAACCCUGUGCCACGAUGAUAAAAAAAUUUCCUGUACUAAAAGAACAAAAACAUCGGGAACGGAAACGCGGAUUUCUGUUUACUUGUC